ensembl:lncRNA
UUAAAUGCAGUCUGCUAGAUUUAAUAUAUUUACCUGAAAAAUAUCUCAAUAUAAAUGACACACUUUUGUUGUAAUUCUGUUUUAAGACUACUGGAUAAAUUGAUUAUUAUUUAAAAUCAGCUUUAUUUCUAACAUAAGGGUGAUUCUAGGUCAGGGCAAAGGCUACUGAUUCAUCAAGCUUAGUAACCAUUUUCCAAAAGAUCACCCAGAGUAAAAAGGGAACAAUACAGCACAUAAUGAGACUUCAUCAAAUAAUCUAACCUCCAAAAAUUUGCAACAUUUGGAAUUCCUUAGCUAGAGAUAAUGUCUUUUUUUAUUCUAUAGGUAUUGGUAUUCCUUCUCUAAAUUGUCCACUACUCUGAAGGCACAUAACAUGUGUAGAGUGAAUUUGUGAAGUUUCUUGAAAAAGAUAUUACAGAUGUUAAAACAAGAUGAAGAAUCAAGCCUUCUUACCUGCUUAGAAAAAGGUAUUACAGAUAAAAAAGACACUGUAGAUGCCAAAACAAGAUGAAGAACCAAGCUUUCUUGCUUGCUUUGAAUGAAGUUCCUGUUAGCUUCAAUUGGUGCUCAACAUUUUUUUAUUGGGAAUGAGACUAAACAAGAAAUCCUUAAUGCACAACCUUCAUACUCUUUGGGGUUCUUUAGAAUUCUGGUUUGCCUAAUUAUAAUUCCUAUUGUAACAUCAUGAUUUAGAUCAUAAUUUUCACCUUUCUUUGCAUUUUUUUCCAGUUUAAUUAUAGCAUUUUUAAGAGGAAUGGAUAACAAUCAUUAAGAACAAAAUUCAUGUUCCUAUUUCAAUGAAAGACCUUGUUCCCAGGUAAAGAUGGGCAGCUCAAAAUCCAACAUGGUGUGGGCAGAGUUAGGCAUGUUUUUGUGUACAUAACAAUACAAUUUGGAUAAUACUGUAUCCAGUUACAUUUGCCACCUCAACCUUCAAACACUGUCUCAAGGUCUUCUUGUAAAGAUAAUCAAAGAUGGUCUGUGAGUGCUAGCAUUGCUAGUCACCUUGAAAUAAGAAAACUUUUUUGUGUGGUAACAAAUGAAUUUCAAAAAUUAGUAAGUAAAACACAGUGUUUCUUGUGGGAUUUCCAGAAUAGUACCCUCUGACUUUGCUGAAUAAUCAACUUAUUCUAAAGUAAUCCCAUACUCACUCACAUUUCACCCUGUCACUAGUUCUGUUGGGCUUCACUCCAGUGUCAAAGCUUUUGACAUUCUGCCCAAAACACUGUCACUUAUCUACACACACAUGUACCUUCGUAUCCCUUCCUCUCCUUCUUCUUUCAUUUAAGGCGGCAAAAAUUUCCAUAAGCACUUUUAUUGCUUUAAUUUUAGUUCACACUCAAGGAUUUGGUUUUGUUUGUAUCAUUCCUCAUAUACACUCUAUCUUCCUGUUCUCUUUCAUAAUACUACCUUACAUAAAAGUUUCAUUUGUCAGUUUACUUAUCUGCAUGUUAAAUACUUCACAAACUUUUAUUUAAAGACACCUAUGUUUUGCUAUUUAUAUUUGUUUUACAAAUCUUAAAGAAUGAGACAUUUAAGCCUUUAAAAAAAUCUCUUCCUUUAUAUUGUUUUUACUAUGUUUUUAUAAUAUUAAUACAGUGAAUUGAAAUGGAACAGGUACCACCAGACUUAUCUCUCACCUGAUGCAGUGGGAGUUGUGUCUCUUUACUGCAAAAAAUAGAUAGAAUGACUCAGAUCAAUGUCCAAGCCAGGCUUGUAGAGUCUGGGUGCCAAAUUGAAAAAAAAAAAAAAAAA